GGCCUGGUGGCACAGUGGUAGUGCAUCUGCAUAAAAUUGGACGAAGCGAUAAUAGUAUGCAGAUGAUGCUGGUUCGAGUCCAGCCUGGGCCC